AUGGGCUUCAGUUAGUAAAAGAGAAUGGUAAUUAUUUUUAGUAAUUAUAUUUUUUUUUUUUGAAAGAUAUACUAUCCGUUUUGUUUAUUUCACUUAAAAAUAAACUUAACUGAAAAUAUGAACCUGAUAGACUUGCGAAGAGAGGCUGGUUGGACGAUCCUACCUGUGUACUAUGCGGGUCGUGCGAUGAAACAGUGGACCAUCUGUUCACCCAAUGCGUAUUCGUUAAGUUUAUCAUGGUGUCAGAAGAGGACGAUACUCAGGCCCAUGAUCUGCGGGACGACGUGAAUUUCGUAUGGAAUAGGUGGAUGGUUAGAAGGGACCACCUAAAAAAGCGAAACUUCCUUCCUGCUGUUAUAGGCUGCUGGUGGAUUAUAUGGAAGGCUAGAAACGACUCAAUCUUCCUAAAUAUUAGUCCAAACC
rnacentral:lncRNA from 1 species